UAUUUUGUCCCCUCCUGUCUUCUUCUUUCCAGCUUUUGUAAGCCAAAAGAAUAAACAGUUAAGUGCAUUUUAUCUUAGAAUGAGCUGUUUAGUGCUACUAACUGAGCAUUCUCUAAUAAUGCAAGCCUGCAAACAACAGCUGGUAAUUGGACAAAUGGCUGGUAAAUUUCAGGUUUUGACUGGCAAGAGCUUAAUCUGGUAGCACUGAACCAAAAUUGCUGCUAUCUGUCUUGACAGGGGCUUUUGAGCUUCCGAGAACAAUAGAGAUGCAUAGAGGACGGGUCACACCUGCUUGCUAGCCCAAAAAGUCAUCAGCUGAUCUCACAACUUAUUUAUUUUUAAAAUUUAAAUAUGAAGCCCAACUCGCAUGUGAGACCUUAUGCAUCCUAUGGUGCAAAAAGGAUGAUGAAACUUACUUUAGCCAAGAAUUUGAAUAAAUAUGUAUCUUUGAUUUUUUUGUAGGAGCAAUAUUCAGUGAUUACCUUCCAAUAAGGAGAUAUUAUUUUUUCACUCCCUGGGGAAUAAAGGAGAGAUGGAAUGCCCUCAAAAAUGGCUUGUGGACUGUGUAUAGCCUCGCCGUGGUAAGAAAAUAUGUCAAACCAUUUAAGAUCAGAGAAUUUGCUGAACAGGCU